ACGAAUUGGAAUCCGCGUUGUAAGUAGAGGAUUUGUUUGUGAGAGGCUUCAUAGUAUUGCGAGAGUGCUUGAAAUGCUCGCAGCUCUGAAACGGUGAUACCGUUCGGAACACAUACUAGAAUGAGGUCGUGGUCGCGGAGUUGUGGGACGUUGGAGUUGGACGCCUGCGCUCCGCGUGACUCGCGUGGAAAGCCUAUGAUUUCAGCGAUCGCAGCGAGCGCGCUUCCUUUUCGUCGUGGGUGAAAACUCAGAUUCGUGUUGGCACCCUCGAGUGAGGCAAAUAAUAAGGCCGGCAGGGUCAAGACGCCCAUGCUUUGCGUCGCGUUUGCCGUGCCGCUCUGCACAGCCUCAACCAGUGUGCUAUUGAGCCAGUUUGUCCAAACGCUUGCAACAGCUUCAUAAUCCGGUCCAUUGUGGGCUGAAAUGCUGCUCAAUUCAAAGAGGCGAUCUACAAGCAGGUUUGCGGUGUCUCGUAUCCAGGCAUCCCCGGCUCGCGUCGCGGCAGCUUCAAUAGCCCCGGACAAGCGGGUACGCUCGGCCUCGGAUGCGUCCGCCUUCCAGUCCAGUACCGAGCACGUGUAUGCAAGGAACGGUAGCACCACUCGGUGGAGAUUCUGGUUUGAAAUGACAUCAAGGAGCUCGUCCAUGAUGUGAUGCAAUGAAAAGCCGGCAGAGGCCCAGUUCCGAGCCAGCUGGAGCAGCGACUGCAGUCUUUGUUCAUCGGUGCAUGCCGCCUCGACGCUGGGGUCUGCAUGCUGCUUCGUGUCCGCAUCCUGGAGCAUUGUCGCCGCGCACCAUAUCGCAGUGGCAGCGUAGAUGAAUAGGCCACUCUGGCGAACGCGCUGGCGAGGUUCCAGAGCAUCCCAGACGCUUUCGAUCAGCGUACGCAUCUGCUCAACCUGAUCUCCAAGACUUGCGGUUUUUUCCACUGAUGACGCAUUUGCAAUUUCCGUAUCUGGAUGAGACAUCGCACUGGGUACCGCUUGUGAAUUUUCUACGCCAACGCCAGCGGUGGAAACGCGCCCCAGACGUGUGGCGCCCAGUUUUCGGCGUGGCGGACGUGGCGGCCCUGCUAUCGAUGAACAACGGACAGUCUCUGCAGGCCGUGUGUGCACCGCCUUGUUGGCUAAGGUCUGCUGCGGCGUCGCCAAAAAAGAAAGCUGCUUCUUCACAAAGGAAAGAAACGCUGCCACAUCGUGCUGCCGCUCGAGCAACGCUUCGGUGAAUUCACCAGUCGAGAGAAGCGCCCUUGUCCCGGAAACACCCCCCAGCGGCGCAAUGAACCAGUCGAGAUCAGAGCCAGCAUCGGAUUCAGAAUAUAGAAACCGACGAGAUACCUUCUCCAAUACGUGUCCCUGCGACGCCAAUAGACAUCCGAACCAGUCAUGGAUCGCUGGAUCCAUGCCGUUCGCGUGUCGAACCGCUGACGCAACGUCCAACAGCCGAUCCAUAAACACUACACACAUGCGCACGGGGGUAGCACUCAAAUCCGACUCGAGGCGUUGAAGGUCAUCGAUCCGUAAUCCUUCGUAAUUCGCGAGUUCGAGGUCCGCCAUUUCCGAUUCUGCACAUUCUAAAGAUUCUACGAAGCGUUUCGCGAUAGCAUCUGCGACUGGAGCACGCCCGAGUACAAACGCUCCCGUGCACGAGCACUUCAACGCUGCGCAUAGAGCAGCGACUUCGCGUGACACCC
rnacentral:misc_RNA from 1 species